AGGAAAUGCUCUUCCGGAGAACGUGUAAACUGGUGGAGUUAGAAACAGCCAAGAGAAACGCAGAGAAGGCCAAACCUGUGAAGAAGCCCCUGAUGGAGGAGGUGAAGAAAACGACAGAGGCAGAGUUCAGUCAGAUCAGCGCGAUGGCCAAACAGGAGAUUAAACACUUUAAACAGGCGCGUGUGCAGAUGUUGCAGCAGGCUCUGGUUCUUUGGUGCGAAAAGCAGCUCGUCACAGCCAGAAAAAACACAGAGCAGCUGAAUGUGCAUCUGGAGACGGUCAGAGGGUUGGCCUAGUCCUGCCCAACGACUCUCUGCUCUUUAAGUUUGAUGUUAUUUCGUACUAACUGGACCCACCCUACUCUGCAACUCUAGCCUGGCCAGCCCAGACUACACACUUUUCUUUUCUAUUCA
ensembl:lncRNA